UACGUAGGGUGCGAGCGUUGUCCGGAUUUAUUGGGCGUAAAGAGCUCGUAGGCGGUUUGUCGCGUCGGCCGUGAAAUCUCCACGCUUAACGUGGAGCGUGCGGUCGAUACGGGCAGACUUGAGUUCGGUAGGGGAGAGUGGAAUUCCUGGUGUAGCGGUGAAAUGCGCAGAUAUCAGGAGGAACACCGGUGGCGAAGGCGGGUCUCUGGGCCGAUACUGACGCUGAGGAGCGAAAGCGUGGGGAGCGAACAGG
rnacentral:rRNA from 1 species